rnacentral:rRNA from 1 species
UGCAGUCGAACGGUAAGGCCCCUUCGGGGGUACACGAGUGGCGAACGGGUGAGUAACACGUGAGUAACCUGCCCUUGACUCUGGGAUAACAUCUGGAAACAGGUGCUAAUACCGGAUAUUCAGCUUCCUCUGCAUGGGGGUUGUUGGAAAGCUCCGGCGGUCAAGGAUGGACUCGCGGCCUAUCAGCUUGUUGGUGAGGUAAUGGCUCACCAAGGCUCCGACGGGUAGCCGGCCUGAGAGGGCGACCGGCCACAUUGGGACUGAGAUACGGCCCAAACUCCUACGGGAGGCAGCAGUGGGGAAUAUUGCACAAUGGGCGCAAGCCUGAUGCAGCAACGCCGCGUGCGGGAUGACGGCCUUCGGGUUGUAAACCGCUUUCAUCCAUGACGAAGCGAGAGUGACGGUAGUGGAAGAAGAAGCACCGGCUAACUACGUGCCAGCCGCCGCGGUAAAA